GUAGGUGGCAAGCGUUUGUCCGGAAAUUAUUGGGCGUAAAGCGCGCGCAGUGGGUCUUUAAGUCUGAUGUGAAAGCCCCCGGGCUCAACCGGGGAGGGUCAUUGGAAACUGGGGAACUUGAGUGCAGGAGAGGAAAGUGGAAUUCCACGUGUAGCGGUGAAAUGCGUAGAUAUGUGGAGGAACACCAGUGGCGAAGGCGACUUUCUGGCCUGUAACUGACACUGAAGCGCGAAAGCGGUGGGGAGACAAACAGGAUUAGACUACCCUGGUAGUCCACGACCGUAAACGAUGAGUGCUAAGUGGUUUGGGGGUUUCCCGCCCCUCAGUGCUGCAGCUAACGCAUUAAGCACUCCGCCGUGGGGAGUACGGUCGCAAAGACU
rnacentral:rRNA from 1 species